AGGCCAGGGAGCGUCUUCUCCAUCCCCGAGCCCGGGUCAAGGCCUUUGGGGAUAAAAAGCUUCAGUCUUGCUCAGCGGCUCCGGAGGCCGCGGGCAGCCCGGGCGGCGACGGCCCGCACUGGGCACUAGGGGUCGCCGCGGCCCAGCCGAACCCACCCGGGAGAGCCUCGCCGCAGCAGGUUUCCAGAAUCAAACCCGGGGCCGCAGCUGGGGCGCGGCGAGGAGACCCCGCCCGGAGCCGCCGGGGGCCCGAGUCCUCCGCCGGAUCCGGGAUUGCGCGCUGCGCCGGGCCCCGCCGCCGGAGGCCGGUUCCCCGGCACGCCCUCUCCCGCGCCGGAGGCCAAGAUUCGGACCUGCGCCGGCGGUUCGGCGGCGGCGGGCGACGGGGAAGAGGUAAUGGCCAAGCACCCCCCACGGAGUGUUUGGAAAGGAAAAACCCUGAAGACCCUGGCAGUAAAAAUUCCAAGAGGCUCACCAAGUACUGGACACUGGAGAAUCCUGGCAAAGAAGAGGAAAAAACCUAGCAGCAAGUCAUCCUACACCCGCCGAUACCCUCUUCCCCUUUGUCAGCCCUUUUCCUUGCUUUCAGGAUAAAUUAAAAUUCUUAUCUGCUCUGCAUCCAGCA